CAGUGGGGAAUAUUGGACAAUGGGCGAAAGCCUGAUCCAGCAAUGCCGCGUGAGUGAUGAAGGCCCUAGGGUUGUAAAGCUCUUUUACCCGGGAUGAUAAUGACAGUACCGGGAGAAUAAGCUCCGGCUAACUCCGUGCCAGCAGCCGCGGUAAUACGGAGGGAGCUAGCGUUGUUCGGAAUUACUGGGCGUAAAGCGCGCGUAGGCGGCUUUUUAAGUCAGAGGUGAAAGCCCGGGGCUCAACCCCGGAAUAGCCUUUGAAACUGGAAAGCUAGAAUCUUGGAGAGGUCAGUGGAAUUCCGAGUGUAGAGGUGAAAUUCGUAGAUAUUCGGAAGAACACCAGUGGCGAAGGCGACUGACUGGACAAGUAUUGACGCUGAGGUGCGAAAGCGUGGGGAGCAAACAGGAUUAGA
rnacentral:rRNA from 1 species